rnacentral:piRNA from 1 species
UAAUUCCAAGUUAUCUUGUUU